rnacentral:rRNA from 1 species
AUCCAGCUUGCUGGAUGCUGACGAGCGGCGGACGGGUGAGUAAUGCAUAGGAAUCUGCCCGAUAGUGGGGGAUAACCUGGGGAAACCCAGGCUAAUACCGCAUACCUCCUACGGGAGAAAGGGGGCUCCGGCUCCCGCUAUGGGAUGAGCCUAUGUCGGAUUAGCUAGUUGGUGAGGUAACGGCUCACCAAGGCCACGAUCCGUAGCUGGUCUGAGAGGAUGAUCAGCCACAUCGGGACUGAGACACGGCCCGAACUCCUACCGGAGGCAGCAGUGGGGAAUAUUGGACAAUGGGGGAAAGCCUGAUCCAGCCCUGCCGCGUGUGUGAAGAAGGCCCUCGGGUUGUAAAGCACUUUCAGCGAGGAAGAACGCCUAGCGGUUAAUACCCGCUAGGAAAGACAUCACUCGCAGAAGAAGCACGGGCUAACUCCGUGCCCAGCAGCCGCGGUAAUACGGAGGGUGCAAGCGUUAAUCGGAAUUACUGGGCGUAAAGCGCGCGUAGGUGGCUUGAUAAGCCGGUUGUGAAAGCCCCGGGCUCAACCUGGGAACGGCAUCCGGAACUGUCAAGCUAGAGUGCAGGAGAGGAAGGUAGAAUUCCCGGUGUAGCGGUGAAAUGCGUAGAGAUCGGGAGGAAUACCAGUGGCGAAGGCGGGCUUCUGGACUG